GUUUUCUUCAAAAGGCCUUGAAAGCCACACAAAGAAUCAUUUCUAGAAAACU
rnacentral:tRNA from 1 species